rnacentral:rRNA from 1 species
GUGGGGAAUAUUGGACAAUGGGCGAAAGCCUGAUCCAGCCAUGCCGCGUGUGUGAAGAAGGUCUUCGGAUUGUAAAGCACUUUAAGUUGGGAGGAAGGGCAGUAAGUUAAUACCUUGCUGUUUUGACGUUACCGACAGAAUAAGCACCGGCUAACUUCGUGCCAGCAGCCGCGGUAAUACGAAGGGUGCAAGCGUUAAUCGGAAUUACUGGGCGUAAAGCGCGCGUAGGUGGUUUUGUAAGUUGGAGGUGAAAUUCCCGGGCUCAACCUGGGAACUGCCUCCAAAACUGCAUGACUAGAGUACGGUAGAGGGUAGUGGAAUUUCCUGUGUAGCGGUGAAAUGCGUAGAUAUAGGAAGGAACACCAGUGGCGAAGGCGACUACCUGGACUGAUACUGACACUGAGGUGCGAAAGCGUGGGGAGCAAACAGGAUUAGAUACCCGUGUAGUCC